rnacentral:rRNA from 1 species
GACAGAGGUGCCGAGCGUUAGGCGGAAUCACUGGGCUUAAAGCGUGUGUAGGCGGAUGGGUAAGUACCUUGUGAAAUCCCACGGCUCAACCGUGGAACUGCUCGGUAUACUGCUCGUCUUGAGCCAACUAGGGGCGACCGGAACAAACGGUGGAGCGGUGAAAUGCGUAGAUAUCGUUUGGAACGCCGAUGGUGAAAACAGGUCGCUGGGGUUGUGCUGACGCUGAGACACGAAGCCAGGGGAGCGAACGGG